rnacentral:rRNA from 1 species
UACGGAGGGUGCAAGCGUUGUCCGGAAUCACUGGGCGUAAAGCGCGCGUAGGCGGACCUGCAAGUCGGGGGUGAAAGCCCGAGGCUCAACCUCGGAACUGCCUUCGAUACUGCGGGUCUCGAGUCCGGGAGAGGUGAGUGGAAUUCCUAGUGUAGAGGUGAAAUUCGUAGAUAUUAGGAAGAACACCAGUGGCGAAGGCGGCUCACUGGCCCGGUACUGACGCUGAGGCGCGAAAGCGUGGGGAGCAAACAGG